rnacentral:tRNA from 1 species
UGGUGAAAUGGUUAAAGCUCUCAGCUGCUAACUGAAAGUUGGUGGUUCGAAUCCACC